rnacentral:rRNA from 1 species
UACGUAGGGUGCAAGCGUUGUCCGGAAUUAUUGGGCGUAAAGAGCUCGUAGGCGGUCUGUCGCGUCUGGUGUGAAAAUCCAGGGCUUAACCCUGGACCUGCAUCGGGUACGGGCAGACUAGAGUGCGGUAGGGGAGAUCGGAAUUCCUGGUGUAGCGGUGAAAUGCGCAGAUAUCAGGAAGAACACCCGUGGCGAAGGCGGCUCUCUGGGACGGUACUGACGCUGAGACGGCGAAAGCGUGGGGAGCGAACAGG